rnacentral:lncRNA from 1 species
CCCAACUUUGGCGGACGACUCCGACUGACCAGCGGGCAUACCAACCGAUUAACGGUCGGAGCGCACCAACCGACAGCCGGGAGCGCCCGACUGACAGACGCUACCGACGGCCAUUCAAUGGCCCAUCGCCGACUGAGGAUAUGUCGGGCGUAUCUUUUCCGACCGACCGAACCCAGGGGUUUGAUGGUCGACUCAUGGGAAACUCACCGACCGACGGAGGAACCUGACGCCACUCCGCUGACCACCGACCCGGGGUCGGCCGACUCCUCCGAUCACCGUACAGCCGCCAGAGCCUGUCGGACCUGACAGCGACAUGCGGCACUGCCACCUAGGGGCAUUAUCCCACCUAGGGCAUUGUCAACCCUAGCGAUUUGACAGCCCCCGCGGCGAUGUGACAUCCUCACGGCGAUCCUGACAGUCUACGGUGAGUUGACAGUUCCUCACUUGUCUGCGCCAUUAAUGACGGCGCCAUAUCGUGCUCCACUAUAUAUACCGGGGAGGGCAAC